rnacentral:rRNA from 1 species
GACGAAGGAUGCAAGCCUUAUCCGGAUUCAUUGGGUUUAAAGGGUGCGUAGGCGGACUGAUAAGUCAGUGGUGAAAUCUCUCGGCUUAACCGAGAAUCUGCCAUUGAUACUGUUAGUCUAGAGUAUAGAUGACGUUGGCGGAAUAUGACAUGUAGUGGUGAAAUACUUAGAUAUGUCAUAGAACACCGAUUGCGAAGGCAGCUAACGAAACUAUAACUGACGCUGAGGCACGAAAGUGCGGGGAUCAAACAGG